UGGGUGAUGAAUGAUGAGGCCAAUUCACAUUAUUUUGCCAUCAUUGAACAGGUAUGUGAUUGGUCAACAACUGUGGAUCCAACAUAAAUGUUGAAAUAUAUAUUGAUGAUUGUUGAU